CUACGGGCGGCUCCAGUCGAGAAUCAUUGUCAAUGCACGAAAGUGUGAACAUGCGACGCCGCGUGGAGGAAGACGGCCUUUGGGUUGUAAACUCCUGUCAGCAGGGAGGAAUUACGGAUUUGCUAACAUCAAAUCCGUUUGACAGUACCUGCAGAGGAAGUCACGGCUAACUCUGUGCCAGCAGCCGCGGUAAUACAGAGGUGGCGAACGUUGUUCGGAUUUACUGGGCGUAAAGGGUCCGCAGGCGGUCUUGUGUGUCGGAUGUGAAAGCUCACGGCUCAACCGUGGAAUUGCAUUCGAAACUGCAAGACUAGAGUACUGGAGGGGAGAAGGGAACACUUGGUGUAGCGGUGAAAUGCGUAGAUAUCAAGUGGAACACCGGCGGCGAAGGCGCUUCUCUGGACAGAUACUGACGCUCAUGGACGAAAGUUAGGGUAGCGAAAGGGAUUAGAUACCCGCGUAGUC
rnacentral:rRNA from 1 species